AGUGAACGCUGGCGGUAGGCCUAACACAUGCAAGUCGAACGGCAGCACAGUAAGAGCUUGCUCUUACGGGUGGCGAGUGGCGGACGGGUGAGGCAUACAUCGGAAUCUACUUUUUCGUGGGUGAUAACGUAGGGCAACUUACGCUAAUACCGCAUACGACCUGCGGGUGAAAGCAGUGGAUCUUCGGACCUUGCGCGAUUCAAUUAGCCGAUGUCGGAUUAGCUAGUUGGCGGGGUAAAGGCCCACCAAGGCGACGAUCCGUAGCUGGUCUGAGAGGAUGAUCAGCCACACUGGAACUGAGACACGGUCCAGACUCCUACGGGAGGCAGCAGUGGGGAAUAUUGGACAAUGGGCGCAAGCCUGAUCCAGCCAUACCGCGUGGGUGAAGAAGGCCUUCGGGUUGUAAAGCCCUUUUGUUGGGAAAGAAAAGCAGCAGGUUAAUACCCCGCUGUUCUGACGGUACCCAAAGAAUAAGCACCGGCUAACUUCGUG
rnacentral:rRNA from 1 species